GGCACUUUACAGUCAGACACCUUGUAUGUAAAAAGGCAGUGAUUUUCCUAACACAUUGUAGAUUACAUUUUAUAUUUUAGGACAUGGUACAUAUAUUCCGGCAUAUUUUGCAUUUAGCCAGUUUAGCAUUUAGCAUUUACCAACCUGUUAAGUGCAUUACUGUCCUCUUAAAAUAGUAACUAAUAAAUUCUCUGUACGUCAGUUUUUACCAUUUUUAAAUGAUGUGAAGUACUUUCGUUCUCCUGACAGUUCAUGAUGUCAACAUUAUUUGCUGAUACAGCAUAAAAUGUAUAAAAUAGGUAUGUAGAUAUUUUAUAUUUAUUUAGAUAUCCAUCUUUGACAGAUGUUUGGACCAUGGGUUUUAAUUUUGAUCGUGAAUGAAGCUGAUCAAGCCUGUGGAAAAGACCAAUGAUUUUUCAUGUUGGUGUGAAGAUAUUGAUGUGAAUGAGUCGCAGUACUAUUGGUCAUGUUGUAUCUCUGAUCAUAUUGAAGAUUGCUGUGUUCGUGAUCCUUCAGUACUCCCGUGACAAGAAAGUGGAUCUGCAGUUUUGCUAUUCCUUUAUAGAUAUGUUGAUAUUUUCUUUGAUGCUGUAAAUAAACUGGAUUGUCUUAC